rnacentral:rRNA from 1 species
AUGGGUCGGCUUCCGAAGAAGGUGACCCUGGGGUACGUCCGCGACGACUCGACCCGGCGCUCUAGGUACAAGCAGCGUCUGAAGGGGCUGAUGAAGAAGGCGGGCGAGCUGGGCACCCUGUGCGACGUCGAGACCUGCGUGGUGGUGUACAGCGAGGGCGGGGCGGCGCCUGAGGUGUUUCCUUCCCCUGACAAGGCGGUGGGUAUCCUGAAUGGAUUCAAGAGCAUGCCGGAGCUGGGGCAUUGCAAGAAGACGAUGGACCAGGAGGGCUUACUCACCGAGGGCAUCGCCAAGCUCCAGGAGAAAGUCGACAAGUCCCGCCGCGAAUGCCAGGACCGCGAGACCAGGUACCUCCUGCAACAGAUCAUGGACGGGAACCUCCCGGGCCUCGUUGGCAUCAGCGUGGAGCAGCUCGCCCGCGUUGGCUACAAGGUGGAGGAGCUGAUCAAGAGCUUGGGCGAACUCAUGGGGAAAACUCAUUCCCAGGCGCCGCCGCCAGCUCCAUGCGUCACCACCGGCAGCAUAGACAUGGGGUCUCCGGCGCUGUAUCAGGCGCCAGAACAACAGCAGGAGGGCACCCUGGUCGGUGGCUACGCUGGUGGUCACGACGGGGCCGACUUCACCGGCAGUGAUACGGUGGUGCAGAUGCAGUCCUUCAAUCUGGAGUUUGGUUCGAGUUAUUUCCCUCCCAUGUACCAGGCGCCGCCGCCAGCUCCAUGGGUCACCACCGGCAGCGUAGACAUGGGGUCUACAGCGCUGCAUCAGGCGCCAGUGCAGCGGCAGGAGGGCACGCUGCUGAGCUCCGGAGGGGAUCUUGGCACCCUGGUCUACGGUGGCUACGCUGGUGGCCACGAAGGGGCCGGCUUCACCGGCAGUGAUAUGGUGAUGCAGAUGCAGUCGUUCAAUCUGGAGUUCGAUUGGAGUCAGUUCCCUCCCAUGUAA